rnacentral:rRNA from 1 species
UACGUAGGUGGCAAGCGAUACUCGGAAUCACUAGGCGUAAAGCGCAGGUAGGCGGUUCGGUAAGUCUUUUGUGAAAGCUCCUGGCUCAACUGGGAGAGGUCAAGGGAAACUGCCGGGCUAGAGUGUGGUAGGGGAUACUGGAAUUCCUGGUGUAGCGGUGAAAUGCGUAGAUAUCAGGAGGAAUACCUAUGGCGAAAGCAGGUAUCUGGGCCAUCACUGGCGCUGAGCUGCGAAAAGCUAGGGGGAGCAAACAGG